rnacentral:lncRNA from 1 species
CAUAUGGAGGUUCUCAGGCUAGGGUUCUAAUUGGAGCUGUAGCUGCUGGCCUACACCACUGCCACAGCAACAUGGGAUCCAAGCCGUGUCUGCAACCUAAACCACAGCUCAUGGCAACGCCGGAUCGUCAACCCACUGAGCAAGGCCAAGGAUCGAACCUGCAACCUCAUGGUUCCUAGUCGGAUUCGUUAACCACUGAGAAGGGAAAAGGCCCAAUGAGGGAAAAGGUGAGUCUACAACCAGUGGAAAUGUUCAGAUAUGUGUACAUCCCUUUACUUUCUGUUCUCAUAGUAUCUUGUACAUAGUGACUUUAAGGCAAAGCACUUAAUCACCUUGUGUCCCAGUUUCCUCACCUGUUAAACAGGGACAAGACUCUCAUAGAGUUGUCAUGACAAUGCAAUGCCUCAAUCACAUAGAGCAUAUAGAAUGGUACCCGGCAUAGGGUAAGUACCAUCUAUGUUAGCUCCUGUUCUCAUUAUUCUUAGGAUGGACAUUACCAUCCAGAUUGUAUACUUCUGGGCAGUAGAUGAUAUGACUCACUUUUCCUUACGGCAAUCAGCCCAAUGCCCAGCUCCAGAAGUAUUUAUUGAAUGGCCCUUGGCAGGGGUGCUGUAAAGAGAUUCACGUAUGUAUGUUUUAUACCAUGGUAUUGUGAAUGGACCUCUAAUAGUGGAAUUUCAAGCUCCAAAGUAGCAAAUUGUGGGAGAGAUUCUUGGGCAAGUCAUCCAUCCUUAUGGGAAUAGUUUCUAUUAAAAGCUGAGAAAUAAACAAGUCAGUUGGGACAGCCAUUCAAGAACAGCUCUCAGCCUGAGAUGGAAUCCCCACUUCACUCCACCAGAAACCUCCAUGACUUUGGUUUAAUGUGUUUCUUCAUUCCUCCAGCUCACAGAGGGGAGACCCACCAGGAAUUCUUCCUGCCUUGAGAACUGUCACACUCAUGAGAAUUUUCUGAUGCUUGUCUUGCAGCAUCCUAAAAUCAGCUCCUCAGAGGCCCCUACAAAACAGGCUUGUUUUUCAGUCCCCAGCUGCCAUCAAACCAGUAGAGAGUUGUGAGCUGUCAGCCUAGGUGUUUCUGUUUUCAGAGGGAAAGAACCUCGAACAAAGAUACUGUAAAAGAAAAUCCGUUGGAAGGCAAAUGAGGGGAGGGAGGCAGAUCUGAUGGAGAAGGAGAUCCCCCACCAACCAAAGAAAGCAUUUUCCUGUGCUGAUUUUCUCUUGCAUGUGGACUACUAGUCCAUACAGUGUUAACAGUUCCUUCUAUUAUCUUCUCAUUCUGACAUAUGCUUGGGAGAUCAGAAAUAUCAUCAGGUAAUUCAGCUGGGUAAGCAAAUUGCCUCUUCUCCCUGCCUAGCUGUUAAGUGGGCACUUCUAGCAUUGCACAGGCUUAGAUGGGAUUUCCUAGAGGCCAUCUAAAUGAGGAUGGAGAAAUGAAAGCUCAGAGGACUAGGAGAGGGUAUAGCAUCUCCCUGAAGACAUCAGAAGACUUGGGCAUGGUCUUCCCUGCAGAGACAAGCACUUUGGCUGACACCUCCUUGUUCAAUACCUCUAUAAAAUGAGGGAAAAUUGACUUCAGACAUGUGGUAGGUUGGAGGCAAGAGGACCUAGUUCUUUCCACAAAUAUUCCUAAAAAUAUCGACCCAUGUUUAUCUUAAAAUCAGGAGAGGUGUGGGAACUCAGAGCAAACGUUUCACUAAAUUCUACACAUCUGGUUACCUCAUUCCUCAUUCAUUCAACAACCAUUAGUUGAAUACUCUUUAUGCCAUGCACAGUGAGGCAGCAAUUAUAAGAGUUCACUGAGGGAUGAGGCCUCAUUGGAACACUGGGGAUGAAUAGGAUGGUGUGGGUUUAAGAGGGAUUUGGAUAUAAAAUCAAUAGGAUUUUGUUGACUGAUGGGACGUGUAAAGGCAGUGCAGAGAGGCUAAGCAGCAGAAAUAAGAGAGGCAACGAUGUAGAAGCUAGGAUGAGCCCCAUGCGUAACCGGGUGUGGUGUGGCAGCAUUCACAGAGGAACAGAGCCCAGAUGGAGGGCACUCAGAGGAUGAUGGUAGCGUGGAGCUCAAAGAGUCAAUGCCCGGGACUCCUGAUGCUCAUCUGAAUCCUAGUUGUAAUUUUAUCAACCGUCACUUCUGCAGCCCUUUGCACCUGCUAAAUCUAAUUUGACUCAAACAUGGGCAGAAAUGGCCUUCCAAAGCAUAACUUGGGUUUCCCUACUAGAAAAACAAUGUAAAAUGUAAAAUAAUUCUAUUUAAGGAAGGAAGAGAAGAGACACUCUUGCUAGCAGUCAGGUGUGCUGUUGCUUACUUCCCUAUUUAAUCCUCACCCACCUGGAAGGAACUCUCACCCCUACUUUACAGAUAAGGCUCAGAAAUUAAAGUAACUUGUAAAAAAGGUUAAAUGAGGAAUGGUAGGUGCAGGGCCCAGACCAAGCUCAUGUCUCCUGAUUCCUCCAAAGACAGUAUUCUUUCUUAUUACCCAUGCGGCUACUCUGAGAAAGAAAAGAGCAUAGGAGCUCAAUGUUUUUAUGGGCUGAACACUGAGCUCACUACUCAUGACUUCAGUACAACCCCCAGAUGCAUAAACUCCUUGAGCAAACCUAGGCAUUGGUUAGUAGAGGGUUGGUGAAACAAUAAAUACUGUAUUCUCCAGGACCAUUCAACAGGCUUCCAAUCCCUGAGACCCUCUCUUGGUCUCCUUACAUCCUGCUUUAUCCCUGAGCAGCUGGCAACCUUUAAGACCCAACAUAAAUGGAAAGGGUGGCCAGGAACAAACAUUAAUGGGCACUUAGUUUAUAGGGUUUGUGCAGCCCCAGAGCAGAGAUGGGGAAUCAUGGGAGCAACCAGAGGAAGGACGCCACCCCACCUGCACUGAUAUGACUCACUUUACUAGGUAUAUUUAUUUCUGCUUCAUUAUUCUACGAUGCCUGCCCUAUCCCAGAGCCCAAGAGGAAGCUAUCAAACUGCAACAGGGUGGUUCCAGGGUUAGACAGCACUGGUAAGAAGUCACACCUGGCAAAAGCAGGGUUGCAGAGCUGGUAUCCUAAAUCCUGACCCAGACCCACCCACCCCUAGUUGCCACCACUCUUCAUGCUGCAUUCCCGCUCCCCUUCACUCUCUAAAUCCUCUGUUAGGGGAUGCUGGUAAGCUGCCAAGCAUCCAUCCCUCCUUCUCCCACUCUGAUAUUCCUCUGAGGAACUUGUCUCUCUGUUAAUUUCACCCAUGUGCUCUAGGGGAAGGUGCUGAAGGGCUCAUUACCCAUAUUCCCUUGGCCACCGCUGGGUUUAAUGAGAAAAAGGGAGCUCAGGAACUGUGUGGGACCAGGAGAGAAGGGGCCCUACUGCUGCUGGGUGGGAGGGUCCAGAGGGCAAUGGGAGAUGCUGGGGGUAAAGCCAACACAGCAGGAGACAAGCGCAGACUGAAAAAAUCCAGACCUUGUGAAAUUAUUUGAUCUUCUCAAAUAUACGAGCCAAUAAACUCUCCUGUCUGGUUAAGCCACUUUGGACUGAGCUUCUUGGUCAUCUGUUCAAGACUCGCCUUACUUUUUACUCCUCAAUGGGCCCUCCCUAGGCAAACUUUGCAACCCUUAAGGUGUCUUAUAAAAAGGUAUUUUCUGAAUGGGCCUUUUCUUACAAUAUGUCAUGGUGUUGAAACAAGCCCAUACUUCAAAGUAAACAGUUUUAAUUAUGAUUCAUCAGCUCACUAGCUGUGCAACUUUAGGCAAGGUGCUUAAAACUGAGUCUCAAUUUCCUCAUUUGUUAAAUGGGAUCAAACUUCCCUCCUGAGAGACAUAAAUGAGACAAUGGAAGAGAACCUGCUAUGUAGGUAGCAGAGUGGAUUUCUUGGGGGAAAGAGAACCCCGAAGUUGACUUCCAAUUACAGCAGGAUUCUACACCCUACACAGAGCAGAGGUUAAGUCAGUAUUUCUGCAACCUACUGAAUAAAGGUACCCCUCUCCCAGCUCCAGGUCAGCACCUGGGAAUAUUAGCUGAGACAAGGCGACCCAGAAUGUAAAGCAUCUGUCCACCACCCCACUUGGCUCCCAGCCAGGCUCCCAGCCUCUGCAGUUGCAGGAAUUCAUCAGCAUACCCGGAAUCCCCCUCCCAGUCUGCAGCACUCACUCUCAAGGCAAUUCAAGCUCUAGGCAGCCAGUGCUGUUUUUAUGUAAACUGCAGCCGGUGUCAAACAUUCUGAGCAGAGGAGGAAGUGAUCAGCGAUAAUAGAAUAUUUUAGCAUCUGAGAAAAUAAUAGAAUAUUAUAUUAUGCAGGAUGGAAAGGGAGACCAUGCUUUUCCUGUUUUCAGUUUCAAACACGGGGAGAAAAAGUAAGCAAAGAACGCUGUGGCUAAAAGAGCAACCUUGCCUAAGGAAUGGAGAAGGACCACGCACUUACCUGCUUUAUGACCUUCAAAGAGCAAACGUUUAACCAGCCCUCUGUGUAUGACUCCAUCACCUGUGCAACUGCCACCUGCCCUUUGCUAGUUUUACCUCAUGAGACUCAGAGAGAGCAGGGCUGAGCACCUGUGUACUUCCCUCCAUGUUUGCAGUAUCGGGUAUGAGGUUGGUGGAAAAGGAAGUAGAAAUAAGUGCUUAAAUUAAAAAUUACAGUUCCUCUUACAUUUCAGUCAUGUCAGUGCAGAACCACAGAAGAUCAACCUUUGGAUGAAAGCUUAUCUUUUGUCAUUUUUAUCUCUAAUGAUGCUAAUCUGCAUUAAGUCUGUCUUUAAAACCUGUCUGGAAUUCUCCUAGGACCGGGUGGUUAAGAAAUGAGACAGAGGAAGAGAGACAAAUAGAUGGAUAGAUAGAUAGACAGACAGACAGAUUAACACUGUCCAAUGUUUCUAAUUGAGUAUAUUAUUCUACUUCAAUAGAACUCAUCUCUUCAUAAUUUGCCCACCUAUUAACAUUAGCCUUUCUUAUUAUUUCACCUUGACAUUCUAAGGAGAAGAAGCAUAUGAAUCUGAGCUCACCCAAAAAGUACACAUUUGGGUGCUAAUAUUUAAUCAACAUGCAUUCAUUGAGUAUCCACUCUGAUCCACACACCGAAUUGAAUGAGGCACAGUCCUUCAUUCCCUGAAGCCAAUCACAAUCACCCUAAUAAUUAUCUCCAGGGUUAUAUUAUGAUUUCAAACCCCAGAGCAGUAGAACAUUUACCUUACCCAUUGUGAUUUCCCAUUCCCUCACUCCCAGCUCUUGCUGGACAUUCCUGUGCCCCCAAGAAAGCCAACCCAGGUGCCUCUGGAAAUUGGGAGAUUGCAGACAACAUCUGGUGCACCAAGGGAAUGUGUUUGUCUCAGCCCUGCUCAAAAUAGUAUCUGACAAGCCUGAAUCACACAAGUUCUGAAAAACUCACAAGAAAUAACCUAAGAAAUCUAUAGCUGCCUCCUCCAAUUUCACUCCCUGUCUGGCUGCUUAUUGACUCCUGCAGCCUGUAUUGACAGCGUGCAACCCUGCUUCUGUCUGCCUGCUCCCAUGCAGUGGUAACUAAAAGAGCAGAAGGAAAAAAAAAAAAAGGAAAGAAAGAAAAAGAAAAACAGGGAAGAUCACAGCUAUAACUCAUUCCCAAGACCCUGUCCUGGAGCCAGGCACCAGCCUGGGGGCAAAAUUUCCAAGCAAAACGGGCACUUUGUUAGGGAGAAAAUGCCUGAGUCCCCUUCCCUUCCUUUUGUUCAUGCCCCCGUCUCUUCUCCCGGGGCCACAUAGUUCAUCUGCUGCUGCAAAUCUCUGUGCCACAUCUCAGCUUCCAAAUACAACUUUUGCACCAAUAAAAUAUGUCCGAUGGAAGAGAAUGGGGUCCAGCCCACCCACACCACAGCUCUCAUACCUUUUUUUAAAAGGUGACCUGAAAGACUUACCUGCCAAGCUCGAAUUAAUUUCACUGCAGAAAUGGAAGUGCAGGGUACAUAUCUCUAGGAAAACACCACCUCGGGAGGCAGAAACCGGGAAGAGAGGGACCACCACAUUCCCUAAACCCUCCAGUCCUGCGUCUCUCCCGGAGCAAUUGAUAAUCUCACUAACACCUACAACAGUGUGCAGGAAGCUGCCUUCCUAACACCGCCCUCGGUGUUCGUGAUUUUGCAACUCUCUCACCCUUCAAAUCUUAGUGCAGCACUGGCAAUUAGAAACCUGCACACAUCUGGGGCCUGGGACGGGGUGUUUUGUGCAUACAUUGGGAGCUUCAGCUGGCAAAAGGGGCUCUCUCGGCAGCCUCAUCUCUCUCCGGGGAUUUAUUUGAAUCUGCAGAUUGUGUCAUGCCAAACCUAUCUCCUUGCUCAGUGUGAAUCACCUACUCGGGAAGUCACAUGGACCCAAGAUUCCCAGAAUGCAAGCUCUGUUCUGGGAAAUACCGGGGGUAUCUACUCUCCUAUUAGCCACAACCUUUAAAUAACUACUUUGAUCAGAAGGCAUGACUAGAGAGGGUAUUACGAAGUGGAGCUGCUAUUGCAAUGAGCAGAAAAGAAGUCAAGGCAAAAGCUAGCAUUCUUCCUACAGCAAACAGUUCCCUGGAGCCCCUUCCUCUUUUUGGCUGGUUCAGACUUUCAAGGCAGCUGCAAACGUCUGGUAGAGUCUGGAAUAAAUACAUAAAUCUUCCUGUUUCAGACCUAUGACAUGGCAGUCCUAAUCCCUAACCUAAUCCAGAGUUAACUGAGUCACCUAAGGAUAUUUUAGAUUGAAUCUGUCAUUUCUUUGCUCCUUAGACAAGAAGCAGAAACGAGGGGACAGGAUGCUCUACAUGGAUUUGUCAUAUUGGGAUGCUAACAAAUAUAGACUCAUUUAUUACCUAAAUCUCUCAGAGGGUAAGAGCAUCAUUUUUAUUACAUCUUAUUAAUAGCAUUAACAAUAACAUUAGUAAUAGAACAGUUAGCCUUUGUUAGGUUGUAAGUACUGUUCAGAACGCUUUUCAUGAAUUAUCUCAUUCAAUAUCCCAACACUUUUAUGAAUCCAGGUACCCGGUCUUCUCCCCAUUUUAGAAAUGAGAAUACCUGGUGGUGAAAAGGCUAGGUAACCUGCCCACGGUCACUUAAUUAAAGGCGACUUCAAGACGGAAAUCCAGAUCCAUUUAACUUCAGAACAAGUGACUUUCACUGCUGUCCGUCCCCAUUGAGCAGGCACUCAGAGUAGACCCCAUCAUUCAUAUCUUUCACAUUUGAAAUCUG